ACUCAAAUGAAUAGACGGGAGCCCGCACAAGCGGUGGAUUAUGUGGUUUAAUUCGAAGCAACGCGCAGAACCUUACCUGGGUUUGACAUCCUUUGACAACCUAAGAGAUUAGGCUUUCGUAGCAAUACGACAAAGAGACAGGUGCUGCAUGGCUGUCGUCAGCUCGUGUGGUGGCAUGUCGGGUUAAGUCCCUCAACGAGCGCAACCCCUGUUUUUAGUUGCCAGCAUUCAGUUGGGCACUCUAGAAAGACUGCCGUGGUUAACACGGAGGAAGGCGGGGAUGACGUCAAGUCCUCAUGGCCCUUACACCCAGGGCGACACACGUAAUACAAUGGUCGGUACAGAGGGAUGCAAGACGGUGACGUUAAGCAAAUCUCAAAAAGCCGAUCUCAGUUCGGAUUGGAGUCUGCAACUCGACUCCAUGAAGGCGGAAUCGCUAGUAAUCGCGGAUCAGCACGCCGCGGUGAAUACGUUCCCGGGCUUUGUACACACCGCCCGU
rnacentral:rRNA from 1 species